UCUGGCGUGCCGCUCCACAUCAACUGCAGCAGUUCAAUGAGGGGAAUUAAGCUAGAACAUCGAAUAUGGAAUCAAAGCUUCGGUUUCAACUGAAUUCUAAGCACAAAAUUCACUGAGAUCAUAAGUUAAGCACAAAAACAAACACAACUUCCAAACUAUCAUUCAAACUAAAACCCUAGAAUGGUGAAAUUGGAGAGUAGAAAAGGGACUGACUUUGAUGAGAAGGGUGAGGAGAG